UACGGAGGGGGUUAGCGUUGUUCGGAAUUACUGGGCGUAAAGCGCGCGUAGGCGGAUUAGAAAGUUGGGGGUGAAAUCCCGGGGCUCAACCCCGGAACUGCCUCCAAAACUACUAGUCUAGAGUUCGAGAGAGGUGAGUGGAAUUCCGAGUGUAGAGGUGAAAUUCGUAGAUAUUCGGAGGAACACCAGUGGCGAAGGCGGCUCACUGGCUCGAUACUGACGCUGGGGUGCGAAAGUGUGGGGAGCAAACAGG
rnacentral:rRNA from 1 species